GAUGAACGCUGGCGGCGUGCCUAAUACAUGCAAGUCGAGCGAACGGACGAGAAGCUUGCUUCUCUGCUGUUAGCGGCGGACGGGCGAGUAACACGUGGAUCACCUACCUAUAUGACUGGGAUAACUUCGGGAAACCGUAGCUAAUAACGGCUCAUAUUUUGUACCGCAUGGUUCAAAAGUGAAAGACGGUUUUGCUGUCACUUAUAGAUGGAUCCGCGCUGCAUUAGCUAGUUGGUAAGGUAACGGCUAACCAAGGCGACGAUGCAUAGCCGAGCUGAGAGGGUGAUCGGCCACACUGGAACUGAGACACGGUCCAGACUCCUACGGGAGGCAGCAGUAGGGAAUCUUCCGCAAUGGGCGAAAGCCUGACGGAGCAACGCCGCGUGAGUGAUGAAGGUCUUCGGAUCGUAAAACUCUGUUAUUGGGGAAGAACAGAUGUGUAAGUAACUGUGCACAUCUUGACGGUACCUAAUCAGAAAGCCACGGCUAACUACGUG
rnacentral:rRNA from 1 species